CCUACGGGUGGCUGCAGUGAGGAAUAUUGGUCAAUGGCCGGGAGGCUGAACCAGCCAAGUCGCGUGAGGGAAGACGGCCCUACGGGUUGUAAACCUCUUUUGUCAGGGAGCAAGGUGCAGGUCGGGACCUGCUGUGAGAGUACCUGAAGAAAAAGCAUCGGCUAACUCCGUGCCAGCAGCCGCGGUAAUACGGAGGAUGCGAGCGUUAUCCGGAUUUAUUGGGUUUAAAGGGUGCGCAGGCGGAGGUGCAAGUCAGUGGUCAAAUUGCGGGGCUCAACCCCGUACGGCCGUUGAAACUGCAUCCCUUGAGUGCGCGAGAAGUAUGCGGAAUGCGUGGUGUAGCGGUGAAAUGCAUAGAUAUCACGCAGAACCCCGAUUGCGAAGGCAGCCUGCCAAGCCAUGACUGACGCUGAUGCACGAAAGCGUGGGGAUCAAACAGGAUUAGAUACCCUGGUAGUC
rnacentral:rRNA from 1 species